rnacentral:misc_RNA from 1 species
GGAGUUGGUUUAGGGAAAGGUACUGGGCCGAGCUAUAGUGGUCCAGGUACUACUUUGGGUAGGCCCAAUUAGCUUAAAUUGAUGGACCUGGAGGUGAUAAAUGAUUGGCCUAGUUAAUGCUNNNNNNNNNCAUUGGGGUUUCAUCUGCGUGUUGCUUGAUGCUUGUUCUUGAUGAGAAUGAUUGACGGUGGAUGGUGAUGAUAUUAUAGUUUUGCCAUGUUUAAUUUUGUUGGAGU